UCAUGGCUACUGAAAACUAGUGAUUUCAGAGGCAUAGGCAAAAUGAAGAUUUUCCACUGAUAAUACAGCCUCCAGCCCAGAAAUUUGCGAGGCAAGGGAGCAGGCCUCAGAAGACCCCUUCAUCACUACUGAGAACUGGCGAUUUCAGAGGAAUAGGAGAAAUCAAGAUUUUCCACUGAAAAUUCAGCAUCCAGCCCACAGACUUGCAUGCCCACCCUGGAGAGGCAAGGGGGCAGGCCUCAGAAGACCCCUUCAUGGCUACUGAGAACUAGUGAUUUCAGAGGAAUAGAAAUGAAGAUUUCCCAC